GCCAUCAGGGGUCCAGGUUAACAUUACCUUAAAUAUGCUGUGUAAUAAUAAUAAUAAUAAUAAUAAUAAUAAUAAUAAUAAUAAUAAUAACAACUAUAACUUUAUUUUUAUACCCCGCCCCAUCUCCCUGAAGGGACUUGGAGCGACUUACACGGGGCCAUGCCCAACACAACAAUACAAUAACAGUAGUAAGACAAUAGAACAAAAUUGCAUCAAUAAAACUUCAACAUCAAUAAAACAGUCAUAAAAGUCAGCAAACAAUAUAAAAUGUUAAAAACGGGAGGCUAAAACAUGGAUCUAGGCCAAAAUGCAGAAAACUUCACAUAGGAGAGGUAGUUUCAGAGGUAAAAUAUUCAAUAAAGUGCAAAGUAGCAAGUAAUAGUGGCCAGGCAUCUUAUUGUAGAGUGGGCAGAUAGAUCAAACCUACAAUGAUCAAUCCUCGAAGGCCGUGUAGUCCUGGAAGUUAUAGUUUUACAAAGUUUUUCAUUGUCUCUCUCAUUGUCAUUUUAAUAUAUUGGGUUUAUGGUUCCCAUCCCCUUGAUCUGGUCAUGUAAGUGUGAUUUAUUGUUAUAAUUGUAUUAUUUUACUUUGUUUAAUAAUGUGUAUUAUGUUGUUAUGUAAUGUUUGUGUUGCUUUUAUGACUGUAAACCGCCCUGAGUCCCAUCCGGAAGAUAGGGCGGUAUAUAAAUAAAGUAUUAUUAUUAUUAUUAUUAUUAUUAUUAUUAUUAUUAUUAUUAUUAUUAUUAUAAAGAGGGCCCAACUAUAGCUCCCAGGAUCCAAAACUGCAUUAAUUCCACAGUAUGGAUGCUCUAUAGGUCUAUUGGAUCCAUCCAGGAAUAACUCCACUGGACGAUUGCGAAUCAUAAUUCUCUGCAAGCGCUCGAUAAAUAAUCCCCGGGGGAUAUUUGAUUAUGCAAUUCCGUUUAUGAUAUCAAAAGGCGCUUAAUUGUCAUGGCGGCGGAGGCUCUCAUUGUGAUAAAAGCACGGCCACAUGCUUUCUGUGCCAUUAAUGCCUCUUUCCCAUAGGCUCGCACACGCGGCUGUGCAGACGGCUACCUGAGGGGACCUUUUCCUCUGCAAUCCUUGGGAAGGAAGAUUGGCAGCCUUGAUCUUGCAAUUGGUCCAAAAUCAACUUCAAAGUGCAAAAUAGUUUGGACUCCAUUCAUUGCAUUGCUGGACAUGCCUAACACGGAGGUUGCUGUGACAUUGCAGAAGGAAGAGCUUUGCAUUCUAGUGACUAAAUGUGCUAUUUUCCAACAAGAAACACAGUUGAACCAUGUACUUGUACCACCAGCUGUGCAUCCCUCCAUUAAAAACCUUAAAGCUGGA